CUUCCCGACAGCAGGGGGCGCACCCGAAAGAAACUGAAACGCGCCGGUUUGGCUGAGGAAGAAAGACGUGACACCAUAGCUCAGUGCAGCUAACAGCAUUAGCACCCCACAGCAUCCACUGAUGAGGUGAAGGUCAUCAAAGUUCUGGGCUGGAUGGAAGGCUACCAGAUCAUCAACCUGCUUUGAGACACGCCGACUUCCAUCACAAGACUACCAAGACUUGAACAAUUCAAAAUUUUAUGUAAUCUUUAAACAUACGGCAGAUGAUUUGAGCUUGUUUAAAAAUAACUUAAUAUGUAACCGUUUUAGUUCCCAGUAUUAACUACUUUGAUCACUAACUGUUGCAGCAUGUCCUUCAUAGCUCUUAGUGGAGCCGUUUAGGCU